UACGUAGGGUGCGAGCGUUAAUCGGAAUUACUGGGCGUAAAGCGUUCGCAGGCGGUUUUGUAAGCCAGGUGUGAAAUCCCCGGGCUCAACCUGGGAAUGGCAUUUGGGACUGCAAGGCUGGAGUGCGGCAGAGGAGACUGGAAUUCCUGGUGUAGCAGUGAAAUGCGUAGAUAUCAGGAGGAAUACCGAUGGCGAAGGCAGGUCUCUGGGCUGACACUGACGCUCAUGCACGAAAGCGUGGGGAGCAAACAGG
rnacentral:rRNA from 1 species